ACCUUCUGAAGGCGAGUCCUCUGGGGCAGCGGAGGCAGGCACCGCGGGCGACGUCGCGGCCGCCGCCGUCGCUGCUGCCGGCGCUGACUGGCUUGUCGCCGCCGCAGUCGAAUCUGCCUCGGGAUCCGGAUCGGGGUCGGGAUCCCGGCCCGGGGUGCUGCUCCGAGGACCCGGUGGAGAGAGCUGCAGGAUAGGCCUGCGGCCGGGUACCGCCCGGGACUUCUUCCCCAUCAUGAGCCGGAGCGCGAGCAGCGAACGACGGCAGAUUAGUGGGGCGGGCGCACAGCGCCCCGGUGCGUAAUCAAUAUUCAUGAACCGUGGCACCGCCUCCCGAGGAGAUCCGCUUUUAACCGGCGCGGUGCACUUGCGCAUGCGGCCUGCGCCCCGGUGCUUUUACGCACGUUCCGCUCCAUCCAUGGUGGGUGGGCUUUGUUCAGGGAAAAGGCGAUUGGCUGUUUUGACUUGAGACGGACUCGGUAGCCAAUAGCAAAGGGAAAAGACAGGACUUCGCGCCAAUAGUGCGGAAGGGCCCGCGGUGUGUGCGACUUCCUUAGACUGGGGUUGCACCAUGCGCUGUUAGCCAAGUCUUUUCUUUAGGGCUUUGUCCGCCAUCUUGUAGCUAUUUUCAGCUGCUUAUUGCUGUUUGUCUUUGAGGAAGAUAAAGAUACAUUGCACCCUUC
rnacentral:lncRNA from 1 species